rnacentral:rRNA from 1 species
GAUGAACGCUGGCGGCGUGCCUAAUACAUGCAAGUCGAGCGAACAGAUAAGGAGCUUGCUCCUUUGACGUUAGCGGCGGACGGGUGAGUAACACGUGGGUAACCUACCUAUAAGACUGGGAUAACUUCGGGAAACCGGAGCUAAUACCGGAUAACAUUUGGAACCGCAUGGUUCUAAAGUGAAAGAUGGUUUUGCUAUCACUUAUAGAUGGACCCGCGCCGGAUUAGCUAGUUGGUAAGGUAACGGCUUACCAAGGCAACGAUACGUAGCCGACCUGAGAGGGUGAUCGGCCACACUGGAACUGAGACACGGUCCAGACUCCUACGGGAGGCAGCAGUAGGGAAUCUUCCGCAAUGGGCGAAAGCCUGACGGAGCAACGCCGCGUGAGUGAUGAAGGGUUUCGGCUCGUAAAGCUCUGUUAUUAGGGAAGAACAAAUGUGUAAGUAACUGUGCACGUCUUGACGGUACCUAAUCAGAAAGCCACGGCUAACUACGUG